rnacentral:misc_RNA from 1 species
GUGAAUCAUCAAAUUUUUGAACGCAAAUUGCGCUUCCUGGCAUCCCGGGAAGUAUGCCUGUUUGAGGGUCAGUAUUAACAAAAAAUCGGUUUGGUUGCAAAUUGUGACGUUUCCGGAGUUUGGGCUAUCUUAACUUUUUUGGUUAAGGGGCUUAAAAUUGACCUUUUUUGCGCAUUUUUAGACAUACAUAAUUUUUUUUUUUUUUCUUUUUUUCUUAAGCCCAAAUUCUUAUUAGAUGCA